UACGUAGGGUGCAAGCGUUGUCCGGAAUUAUUGGGCGUAAAGGGCUCGUAGGCGGUUUGUCACGUCGGGAGUGAAAACUCGGGGCUUAACCCCGAGCCUGCUUCCGAUACGGGCAGACUAGAGGUAUGCAGGGGAGAACGGAAUUCCUGGUGUAGCGGUGAAAUGCGCAGAUAUCAGGAGGAACACCGGUGGCGAAGGCGGUUCUCUGGGCAUGUCCUGACGCUGAGGAGCGAAAGUGUGGGGAGCGAACAGG
rnacentral:rRNA from 1 species